rnacentral:misc_RNA from 1 species
GAUGAAGAACGCAGCGAAAUGCGAUACGUAAUGUGAAUUGCAGAAUUCAGUGAAUCGUCGAAUCUUUGAACGCAUAUUGCGCUCUUUGGUAUUCCGAAGAGCAUGCUUGUUUGAGUAUCAGUAAACACCUCAACCUCUUCUUGAUUUUUCAAAAGGAGGGUGGACUUGAGCUAUCCCAACAACCUUUACCGGUCGGCGGGCGGCUUGAAAUGCAGGUGCAGCUGGACUUUUAUCUGAGCUAAAAGCAUAUCUAUUUAGUCCUCGUCAAACAGGAUUAUUACUUUUGCUGCAGCUAACAUAAAGGAUAAUUGUCCUCUUUGCUGACUGAUGCAGGAUUUUACGACACUUUAUGUGUUGUUCAACUCGAUCUCAAAUCAAGUAAGACUACCCGCUGAACUUAAGCAUAUCAAUAAGCGGAGGA